rnacentral:rRNA from 1 species
CAGAGGGUGCAAACGUUGCUCGGAAUCAUUGGGCGUAAAGCGCGUGUAGGCGGCACGGUAAGUCAGCUGUGAAAGCCCUUGGCUCAACCGAGGAAGUGCAGCUGACACUGCCGAGCUAGAGUGCUGAAGAGGGUGGCGGAAUGCGCAGUGUAGAGGUGAAAUUCGUAGAUAUUGCGUAGAACACCAGUGGCGAAGGCGGCCACCUGGGAAGCUACUGACGCUAAGACGCGAAAGCAUGGGGAGCAAACAGG